rnacentral:tRNA from 1 species
GGGCUGGUAGCUCAGUUGGUAGAGCAGCGGCCUUUUAAGCCGUUGGUUGGGGGUUCGAGUCCCCCCGCUC